CACAGCCGCCAGACCAUAUAUGGGAAGCCGGAAACUGAGCACGCGACCCAUGAACAUGCAGCAUUUUAAUGAGUUUGAAUGAUCAAAAAUGUCCUAAAACGAAUAUCAGCUCAAGAAGGCGAUGGAUGCAAGAGGACACGAACAAAGCCUUUCAUAGCUGGAAAGAGCAAACAACUGCAAACGCUGGAAAACAGAGGCCGAAGUUGCAUUGUUUCCGUUUGACAGUGAUCCUGACAUAAACCAAGAUUUCUCCUCCGCUGAUGAUAAACAAUGGUAAUGGAUCCAGCACAUGGUUUUGGACACACUCCUGCGUCCCUUCAUCACAGAUUGAGCGAUGAACCCCUGACUGAUGAAUAUUACUUCAAAAUGAUGGACAUGACAGUCUUGGAAACAAAUGCAAUAUGGAUGGAAACUAAAACAUACUCUUUCCCCCCAUCAUCUGACUGCAGUGAGGGCAACACUGUCUCUUCUGCAGAGGAUUAUAUCCCCCGAGCAUUCAUGACCUUCAUAGUCUCACUGGAGAAGGGCGUGUUCUGAGAGAAUUGGAUUCUCUUUGUUGUGUCUGUUUCUUCAUUCUCUUUUAGACUUUCCUCUUAGUUAAGCAAGCAAACUGAGGUACAGUGAGCCAGAACACUUUUACUAACAUUGGCCUGCUGUGCACUGUUCAGUGAUGUUCAACUUCUGUCGCCCUCAUGGCCUCUGCAAGUCAUCAUGACAACAAACAUAUCUGAACUGUUUUGGCACCAAUUAGCACACAUGCAAACCGGUAUAAACACAAAUUGAUUGAGGUUUUCUUAAUCAAAACUAGACUACAAAAGCAUGACAUCGCUUUAUGAAGGACCUCCAUAGACGAUGUUGAUGCAACUCAUGUAAAGAUUCCACUUUGUUGAUAGUUUCUGCAAAUGCAAAAUAUUGCAAACUUUUCAACUUGAUAUUAUCAGCAUAUUUACAUUUUCAUGCAAAGAAAGCAUAAG